rnacentral:RNase_P_RNA from 1 species
GCGGAUGGCUGGGCGGCCGCGCGAAAGCGAGGAAAGUCCGGACUCUUUACAGCAAUGGCGGCGGGUAACACCCGCCUGGGGUAACCCAAGGGAAAGCGCCACAGAAAAUAAACCGCUCACUAAAUGUGAGUAAGGGUGAAACGGUAGGGUAAGAGCCUACCGCAGUAUUGGUAACAAUAUUGGCAUGGCAAGCCCCGUCAGGAGCAAAACCAAGUAGGAACCGCGUGCCCUUAUGGGCGGGGUCGCUGAAGCCCCAGCAGGUUCGG